rnacentral:lncRNA from 1 species
GGGAAGGGGAGUGCAGCGCACCCCGGCGCCACUCACCUCCAGCCUCUCCUCGCGAGCCCCGGCUGGCAGCUCGCGGCGCCACUGCUCUGGGCUCCAGAGGGCGGGGCGGGCGCAGGGGGCGGAGCCGGCCGGGCUGGCAGCGCCAGAAUUAAACCCGGAGCGCGCGGCGGCCGGGCACUGACGGCCGCGGACGGUAGCUGCGCCCUGAAGCGAGCAGGAGUGUCCCGCGGGCCUGCGGUUAGGUCGGGCCGGGAGGAAGCCUAGGCUUACGCGGCGAUCUUUUGUACCCAGGAGCCGGCCGGCCCCAGUGCGCCUGCGCGCCGCUCAGCCUGCCGCGGACCCACGAGGCACCUAGGCGCACCUCCGCCCUGCAUGCUGUCCCCGAGUUGCAGUACUUACUCCCACCGCCCCGAGUGAAAACCAUGUCCCCAGUGAGACAGGUUGCAAUAAAAACCAAGUCAUAGUGGGUCUUGAGUAUGCUGCAGCUAGGAAUCUGGUGCCUGAGAAGGGACAUGGUAAUGAGAUUUAUGAGGAGGAAGUGAGGAAGAGACCCCUGGGCAAGAAGUCACCAACAUCGAACCAGACCUUCAGGACAGGUGGAAUUGGAGCAACCCUCUAGGCUAGUGACAGAUGCCAGGCAGAGGAAGUGAGCAGCGGUUCCCCUUCAGCCACAUGGUCACAAGAGGAAACACCAAUGUUCUCAGUAAACUGUGUUGCUAAGCUAGGGUGUUCAAUGCGUUUUCAGGUUAUAUACUUUCAACUAUAAUGGUCUCAUUGGGACAUAACUCCAUCAAAAGUUGAGCAGCAGCAUCAAAUAGAUGUAUUUUAGGGUAUAUAAAUAAUACCUCCCUAAAGCCCUUAAAAACAAUUUUCAGGGUUGCAGCUAUAGCUCAGCAGUACAGAACUUGCUUAGCAUGUGUGAGGCCCUGGGCUUAAUUCUCAGUUCUGCCAAACAAAAUAAACAAGUUUCCUUGCUUACCAGUGGCUCUGAUGGGCUCACAUGCCCAUUUCUGAACCUGUCACUGGGUGAAAGGAAUGCGAUGCACUGAUUAGUCAGGCUGCAGCCAAAGCUACUCACCGGAGACAGGGAUAAAGUCCGCUUCAUCCAAAGCACGGUGAUGGGGUGGGAAGGAAGUGGUUUCCCAGUGUAAAAGCAGGUGAAUGGAUGCAGCCUCUUAAAGUCUAAGGACCAGCGUUGCGCUAGGACAAAUCCAGGCUUCCAGGGCCUCUCUGAACUCACUUUUAGGUCCAGCACAGGCCGACCCACAGUCACAUUCCUACCUUGUGAAGCUUUACUUCUGUUUUUCUUGCCUUCUGUAUCGCAGAUGUCAAAGUGAGCAAAAUAUGAUGAAAGUAGGCAGAAUUCAUGCUAUAUUCCCAUUUUUAAAAACACUGUCAUAGUCAUACAAAUUGAGAAAGUCCUUAUCUUCAGCCUCACAUUAUUACUUACUGCUGGAUUGACUGAACCUGGGUCCUGCCCAGUGUCCGCUGGAACCUCCUCCCAG